UGAUACUGACGGUAGGCUCUUGUAAGAAGGUGAAAUACUUUUCAGAUUCAUCCAACUCCUGGCUAUUUUGCUAAAAGCUUCAGAUCCUGGUGCUGUCAUUGCUUCAAAAUCAACAAGCUUUCCUUUAGGGAUUUUUCCUGAUACUUCCUUUCCACUUGCCAUUAGAGCUCCCAUGAUCACUGAAUAAGCUAUCACACUUGAUCCUCUUGAAAGUGGCAUUAAAUUAUAAAAGUAAUAAACUAAUGACAGGAUCAAGUUGCACACAGCAUCUGCUUC
rnacentral:lncRNA from 1 species